rnacentral:lncRNA from 1 species
GGUAAAACUGUAAAUCCACUAAAUAAGACAUAAAGUGAUACAAGAAAACCUCAGAUACAAGUGCUAUAGGUAGAUACAUAGGUGGUCUCUAUACAUGGAUACAAAAAUCUCUCACUCUCUCAAUUACAAAAAGAAAGAGUAAACCACCUAGGCAAAGUACCGCUCCUCGCUAGCUAGCUAAGCGAUCCCCUUGCCGCGAUCCCGUGCCUCCGCCGGUGCCGAAGGCUCUGAAAAG